GGGAAUUUUUUUAAAGGGUCACAUAAACUCCACUGAAAUUAAAAGCCCACUAAAAAUAUCUUUGUGGAAGGAAUACGUUUUGGGAAAUGACGAAUGCUGUGUCAAAGGCAGCGUGAGGCUUUAGUUAUGGCAAUCUUCCAACACUCUUACUUGUCCCAGUUUUUGUUGUGAGGUUCAUAGGGGAAGAGUGUUGGACACGGGGAGAGUGUGAAAGCCAUAACCAUCGGUAAAAGUUGAAUUUUAACAACUGGAAUUUAGUGUCAAAUUAUGCACCAUUUUCUAAGAAAGUCCUGCAGCUAAAUUGAUACGCUGGAGUCCCUGAUCAUGCAUGCUAGUGUUCUCAGAUUCUCCAGCUAUUUGGAUGCAGUGGUGCAAAAUUAUAUGUUGUUUCCUAUAUGAUUCAGCUUAAAAUACAAGCUUUGGCAGCGUGAGUACCUAAACAGUAUUACAGUCAGCAUUCCUUUAUGCACACAAACAAUUUCCUUUUGGGUAAGUAACAUUGUACUGUGAAAAAGCACACAACUCCAGGGAGAGCAUCAUUUGAUAGCAUCUCCUGUGCCACAGUUCCCUGGGUUUGCCCCUCUUCCUCGCCUUGGAUUCUGCUGUUUACCGAAACUUUAAGCCUUUCUGUACAUUAUCACUGGUUGGCUCUCUUGCACCACCUCAUUGUUUUUUGCCGUUUCUCUGCAAAUACAUCUUCCUGGAAAAGGGGGACCAACAGUAAGUGUCUCUGGUUCCUGGCCAAGUUUCCACUGACAUGGUUUCACUUGCUCUGUUGUGUCAAGUUAUUUACAUGCAGUGUUCUAAGGAUGUAAUUUAGCGGACUGCUAGUAAGCAGCUAACCUUUUUGUCUUGGCCCCAGUCCACAUAGGUCAGGUUUACACAAGCCUGCUUCCUCACGAUGAAUUCAGUGGCUACUCUUAACAGCCCUUGGUUCCUGUUGCAUGACUUUAUGAAAAAGAUAGCAUUAGGCUGCUCUCAGAGCCUUGAGGAAGGACAUGCUAGGAUUGCUCACUUUACCUACUGAGUUGCAUGAGCCAGAAUCUCUUCUGAAUCUUCUGCAUACCCAAGACCUAAGGCUGUCGAGGUGAGAAGGUUACGUUUUUCAUGCAUUAAUAGGUCUGAUGUGCCACAAUAGAGGAGAGGGUUUUCAAAACCAGCAUAGAGGUGUGAAGCUCCCUAUUUAAGCUGCCUAGCUCAAAGUACAGUCUUAUUCUCAGGUUCUGGAUUUCUGCAUAUCAGAGUUGUUUUGUAUCCAGUAGAGCUGCCUUGGGCAUGCAUUCGCAGGAGUCGCGUUACCUGAGCUCCCUGCUUUGAGCUCUCAGAAAAUACAGUUGCGUGGUGCAGAGCCUGCGGUGGCAUUGCUGGUUGAAGGAGUUUGGUGUUAUCUUUUGCUCCUUGCUUUCCUGUGCCACAGUACGCCAUUCCCUUUCAUGUGAUCGCAAUUAUCUGCAAGGGCACAGUGAGCUAUCAGUGUCUUAAUCAGGGUGUUGACGCACCCUCCCUGCCCUGUGUACGCUUUUCAGUGACUCAGUGACCAGCGAAGCAGAGGAGGUUUGCAGUUGUGCGGCUUUCUAAAACGUGGAUCGGGUCUCAUGACCCAGUCAAAUGUUUUGCUCUGUGUAGACUUCUGACCAGGCAGCGGGAGCUUGAGAAACCCUGACGUCUGUAAGCAGCACUGGUGAUUGCUAGAUGCAGUCCAGACAAAUCCCAGUGGGAGAGGAGAGCUGGAGUAAGAUGCGGACCAGUUUUCCCUGAAGUUUGGGGGGUUUUGACGGUUACAGAGAGUACCAAUGUGUUCUCUUAUGCUGGAACUAAUUUCUUACAUUUAGGGAGUAGUAUUUACCCCUGCACACACUGCUAAAUAUCCCUUUUACAUUUAAUGGCAGAGUAGAUCUGCAAAAAAGAGAAUUGGGUACUAAAAUGUUUUACAUACGGUAGACAAAAAGCCUAGUCUCAGUUUUCCACGUCAACAUUUUUACAGUGCUCCUGAUAUGAGUGAAGUCAGCUUCCUUACUGUGAACUCUUGCAAUGCAAAUAUGAUUUACUGCCUCCAUUCUGAUAAUGGCGAAUGUUGUCUGAUGGGGACAAUGUGGUGGCAGCUGCUUCAGAGUGAUGUGCAGUGGCUUUGCUGUACUUGCUCUACUUUAGCGAAUGUCAGCUAAAAUAGUAAUUGCGUCCCCUAAGAGUUAGAUUAUUGCUGCUGAUAACCUUUGUGGAAAAACAAAUGAGGGGAAGUAGAGGCAGAUGCAAUCCUCAUAUGAUUUGGCAGAAAGGUGUUGCACAGCCAAGUGAGUACUACGUCUCACGGGGGAUGAAGGGCAGUCGUGCUUUACUAGCUCAUAUCAGUGAGGUCCACUUAGCCUCCUGCAAAUUCCUGCCCACUGAAAGCUCUUCUCAUCUCCAGGGUAGAUUGUGACUGGAGCAACCGCUGUCCCAGUGCUGCCUCCAGGAAACAAGUUAUUUGUCUGUGGAUUAACCUUGUCGUGAGUACUGAGGUAUGUGACAUGCUUGCCCAUGGAAUCAGGUAUGUGUGGGGUCUCUCACAAGUUUCUGUCAACACUUAAGUGUUUCAGCUCUCCAGAAUGGAUAACAUUGCUGCCAUUCAUUCUGAUUGGCGUUGCAGCCUUGUUCACAUGGGUUUGACGUAUCUCAAAUAUCCUAGCCUUUUGCUAUAGUCAGUUCUCUGUAAUCUGAAGGUAAAUUUAGGUACAAAUCAUGACAGCCAAGAUGCUGGGUUUGGAAUAUGCCUGCCUCCCUGUAAUAUUCAGUCGUGCUCUCUGGUAUGGGUGGAUCUGCCGGUUGGGUGCAGUUAAUUUACCAGUCUUACUUCUCCCAAAGGAAAUGUGCACCCUGAAUUCUCCCUGUGCUGUGGUAGUGCUUUACGUGCACAAGCUCCAGGUAAUGUUCACCUCUGUGGGAUGCAAAGGGAUGGCUAUCUCAGUCUUCCCUGAAUUUACUGCUCAGUGUUCAGUGACGUAGCAGGGCAUGCAAGGCGCUAUUUUGCUGCUGUCCACCACCCACAAAUGGCAUUUGGUUCAUUUGGUUUUGGUGACCCUUUUGUUUCUAGCUAACACAUAGGUGUUAAGGGAGGUUUUGUACCAACAUGCAGGUUUUCCAAACUUUGGGGUUUUUCCUUCUCUGUAGUAUCUCCCUGUCACCUGUACAUAGUACAUCGCAGUCAGUGAUCUGUCUGUAGGUUAUGCCCUGAUGUGUGUGAGCAGUCCUGGGAUAAUUCCCCACUUGUUCAGCCGCAUGGAGCUGGUGAUUCCGGUUGCUGCAAAAUUCUAGCCAUUGCAUGCCAUCAUCAUAAAGAAGAAAAAAGAAAGCUUCAAGGAAGGAGGCCUUCAUUUCUUCUUGUCUAUUGGGAUGUCCUGAACAGCUCCAGAGCUGGUGCAGGGGUCUGAUCAGAUGCUGCUCUCCAUCCAUCCCCUGCCCUGGGUGGUGGGUCAGCAGCACCCUGUGGUGGAGGAGGUGAGGGGACACCAGUCUCAAGAGGUGCUGUCUUCUACCUUGUCACUUACUGUCCAUGUGGCUUCUAUGUCCCCCUUCGUGAAGCUCAUUCCCAUUCUUGUUUGAAAACAGCUGCUCUAAUAUGACCCUUUAGCACAAGUAGUCUUUAGAUACAGGAGGCCAGGACGUGUCUUGGCGUGCCAUCAGAUGAACUUUUUUCAGGUCCUUAUGUAGUUUGUAACAAAGGGGACGUUAAUGUGGGCAAGGUCCAAGAAAUAGUCUUGUGUGUGUGACCUCUGCUAAAUUUGAUAAAGUCUUCUCUUUAGUGGCACUGUGAUCAGAUAUUCUUCCAUGGCCCUAUCGUGGUGGUCUUGCAUUAGGGUUUUGAAAUGCUCUGCUAAGUAAGAAGGCCCUGAUGAGCUCACAAUGUGAAGGUGGCCCUAUGCUUUUUUUCAAGGGUCCUUCAGAGCAGGUGUUGGUGGGAAGAACAUGUUUGACCCUUUUCCAUUUUUUUUAGUAGAUGUUUCAGCCUCAGAGAAUCCUUGCAUAUUCUGUGUAACUUAACAAUCAAUUACAUUUCUCCAUUUUGUACAAAUAUGACCAGUUUUAUGCAAAGGCAUAUAAAUGACAUUUCUUAGUAGGCAUUUCUUCCAUGUUUUAUGUUACAGCUGCAUGUAUCCACAUUAGAUAAGUCAGGAAUAUUUGAAUAACAGAUGUUAAAAUUGGGUCAUAAACCACAAGAGUCACUGAGCUCAGACUUCAGAGGAACUGGAUCCUCUCCUGGUACAUUCACUGGGCAAAUAAUUUAUACCUCAGAAUCAUGUUUUGCACUGGAGGACAUCUGAAUAUUUCACUGCUGCUACUCCAGCAUCUCUUACCUCUGGGACAAAUUCUUCUCGUUCCCAUUGAAUCUCAGGGCGGUGGUUGGGGAAGAGAUCUAAUAACACUUUAAAGGUAUGUGAAAGGUGCUCUCCAUGUGCUGAGUUUCAUAUUUUUAACCUUUACAUUUUUUAAAUUUAAAGUAGCACCUUCCAUUUCCUAAACUGAUGACACCUGAAGAUAAAUAGAUCUCUACAGCCAAUUGCCUCCAAUACGUCAAAGACAGAAGUGCCAUUUUGCAGAUACCCAGUGAAGAUGCAGAAGCAUGGGAUUGCUGGGAACCAAGCAAUCGCCACUAAAAUACAAUAGUGCCACAACUUGUCAGCAGGCUGAGCAAACCCAGCCCUUCUUACAAUGUUGUGCCUACGGUGUUCUGUCUAAAAACUAUUAGCCCUUGAAAAACUAGU